rnacentral:lncRNA from 1 species
UUUAUCUUCUGAUAGACUAUAGUGUAUUUUUCACAUUUAACAAUACUGAAUGACAGCCACAGCACAUUUUCCAAUCUUCACAAUAUCUGCUAAUGCAAGCUAUGAUCCAGUGUUUUAUUCAUACGUACACUCUAAUCAGAUGACAUUUGAUAUUUAAUUAUUCUACUGUAGUUUUCUGGCUAAAGUGAAGUUUGCCAGUAUAAUAAAUCUUAGGGAAUUUCUUGAGUUUAAAAUUAGUAAGUAUUAUUAGAUUGAAUUCUCUAAGAUAAUAAAAUAAAAACAAGAGUGUAAGAAAAGUUCCAUAGUCUUAGCCAAACCCCCUUUGCAGCUAGAAAUUUUCCCGUAUCUGCCUUGAGAUUUUUGAUGCUAUUAAGUAGUUCUCCUCCUUUUCUGUUACAUUUUCAGGCUAAACUGUUACUUUGUUUUUGGUUUUCCAAAAGAGUUUAUAUGAAAUGUAACACUUUAUAUAAAUAAUAGUAUUAAAGACUCUUGAUCUCUACUUGUAAAGAAAGAGAAUGUCAUUAUAUUGGAGUGAUUUAUCUGAAAGUCAUCCAACAGUCUCAACUAGUCACAGUAUAAUGGUAACCUCAAAGGUUUAUAUUUGAAGGGCUGAAGUAGAUACCACAAAAUCCAUGGGACUAAAUUAUUUCAAUGAAUAAUGUGAAGCAUUAAUCUUACUCUUCCUUUGC